GAUAGCUGUGCUGUAUUGCACUUAGAAAUUUCCCGUAAUCAAAACGAGAAUGUAGAACUGAAGAGGGAAUUAACACGUUUGGAAAACGAACUUAGGGCUACACGGAUACGACGAAAAACAGGGGACUGUUUUCCCAACCAGGAUAACGUCUCUAGAAGGGACUGGGGCAUUAAUCCUCGGAAAGAACCAUUUUCAGCCAUAAUUGAAGAUGAUUUUACGCUUUGGCAACUGUCCGACUAUGGAGAGCAACAAUCCACAGACAUUCAUGAGAAUGGAAAUGACCUACCUCAGAUCAAAGAGGAGCGGUCUGAAGAGGAGGAGAUGUGGGGUUGUGAAGAU